UCCCCCAGUGGCGCAUUGGUUAGCGCGCGGUACUUAUAAUCCCGGGGGCGUGAUUUCGAUCCUCACCGGGGAAG